rnacentral:rRNA from 1 species
CGGAGAGGCGGCACAUGGUGCCUCGAUCGUCGAUGGCGAGGCUGUUUUUGUCAAUGAACCGACUGCUUGCGACCCACCUCCGUCGCUUGUCCGGGGGAAAAUUGUG